UUGGGAGCUCUCCCAUAUGGUCGACCUGCAGGCGGCCGCGAAUUCACUAGUGAUUUACCGAAAUACUUCAUCACCCACGCGGCGUUGCUUCGUCAGGGUUGCCCCCAUUGCGAAAAAUUCCCCACUGCUGCCUCCCGUAGGAGUCUGGACCGUGUCUCAGUUCCAGUGUGGCCGACCGUCCUCUCAGACCGGCUACUGAUCGUGGCCUUGGUGAGCCGUUACCUUACCAACUAGCUAAUCUGCCGCAGGCUCCUCUUCAGGCGCGAGGUUCGAAAAUCCCCCGCUUUAACAACUGUCACCAUGUGGUGCCGCUGCAUUAUGCGGUGUUAGCCCAAGUUUCCCUGGGUUAUUCCCCACCCGAAGGUAGAUUACCUACGUGUUACUCACCCGUGCGCCACUUUACUCAUUCCCCGAAGGAAACUUUCUCGUUCGACUUGCAUGUCUGAGGCACGCCGCCAGCGUUGAUUCUGAGCCAUGAUCAAACUCUAAUCGAAUUCCCGCGGCCG
rnacentral:rRNA from 1 species